CCUACGGGGGGCUGCAGUGGGGAAUAUUGGACAAUGGGGGGAACCCUGAUCCAGCCAUGCCGCGUGUGUGAAGAAGGCCCUCGGGUUGUAAAGCACUUUCAGUGAGGAAGAACGCCUGGUGGUUAAUACCCAUCAGGAAAGACAUCACUCACAGAAGAAGCACCGGCUAACUCCGUGCCAGCAGCCGCGGUAAUACGGAGGGUGCGAGCGUUAAUCGGAAUUACUGGGCGUAAAGCGCGCGUAGGUGGCUUGAUAAGCCGGUUGUGAAAGCCCCGGGCUCAACCUGGGAACGGCAUCCGGAACUGUCAAGCUAGAGGGCAGGAGAGGAAGGUAGGAUUCCCGGUGUAGCGGUGAAAUGCGUAGAGGUCGGGAGGAAUACCAGUGGCGAAGGCGGGCUUCUGGACUGACACUGACACUGAGGUGCGAAAGCGUGGGUAGCAAACAGGAUUAGAUACCCUUGUAGUC
rnacentral:rRNA from 1 species